rnacentral:lncRNA from 1 species
AUGCACUUUCCGUCCGUGAUGUGGACAGCGUCGAAUGAUAGAAUUCAAUCCACACCAAGUGUUUUGAAAAAGACCCUACAUUUUGCGGAUACUUGUUUUAGUUUUGGGAUACUGACAUUGGACAAAUUUGCAUCUAAAUCUAGUACUACCUUUCAGCUGAUAUCGUCAAAUAUGUUGUAGGGUAAGAUACAUUGGUCAUUGAGGUAAGAAAUAAUAAAAAUAAGAUAACCGUGCCACAGUUUUGAAGAUUUCAUUCUGUAUCAUCUGAUUCAAAGAAUAGGUACAUCCAAAAAUUGUACAUAUUGACUCGUCACGAACAUCUCAGGGCUAAAGAAUAAUAAACCGGGAAUUUGAAAGAAAAAAGCCGUUAUAAAGUCUCCUGUCACUGUUGUUUUCUCCUGAUCAAUACAAAUUAUGGCGUGAAGUUUUGACCCAAUUUUCUUGAAAGCACCAGAAAGCGUUUACACUCGAAACUGAAAAUCGAUUUUUUUUCACUAGGGUAAACAAUACUUUUAUACCGGAAGAUUUUUUGCCUGACUUCAUCACAUGCAUGAAAUUUGGUUUAAAAGAUCGCCAUAUUUUCCUAAAUGCUUUCCAGGUCUGCCUUGCUGAGGGAAAACGCCGUGUAAAUUUUCAAACGUUAUCAAAUUUCUUCUGAUAAAAUGCUCACGUUUUGGGAAAGUUAUGGUUAUGUUUCUUUGAAAUUUCAAGGUUCGACAGAAUAAAGUGGGAAGAAUAUUAUAAAAAAAUGUUUAAAAAAAAUGUUCAUUUCCAGAGCACUCUAUUUUACCAAUGGAAAUUUGAACACUUCAUUCAAGUGUUCACAUGACGCUGUUCCCUAAAGGUCUUUUAAACAAUCCGCAACACUAAAAACCGGAUUUCAUUACCUCCCUCCCGUAACGCUCUUGUAACAAAGGUCAGUUUCUCCGUCUUUGCCCCUUCUCAAACGUAAAGAAAUCACCGAUAAACCUCAAUUUUGAAGGGAAAAAAAUGAAGAGAGUCAAAAAUGUAAACAAAAAUGCAUGUAAAAUAAGAGUUCCGAGCAUGUUAUUCAAUCACAAACUCCAAAAAAGGGAAACAAAACAGCAUUAAUCAUAAAGUAAAUGAACAAAUUGGUCAAGCGGUACCUAAUUUACGUAUUUUUGACUGACGUCACGUACUAAAUGAAGGAUUACCAGCACGGCAGGGAGUCUAAAUUCUGAGAAUGAUUCUAUCGAUGGUGAAUUACAGAAAUCGUCACCUUCCGGCGAAAGUAUCACAAGCGCCAAGCGAUGUUUAACAAUUUUCGCCGCCGUUUUAUUUUUUUAAAAAAAAUCGUUACUUAAAUCUGUUUGAAAAUUUCACUGAAUUUUAUCGGGAGCAUGAAAAAAUUCAGGGAAAUUUUUGGACAGCUUCGUUGAAUAAUUUCUCUGUAAAAAAGUAAACUGUCUGCGGAAAUGUAUAAACUUCGCAUGGCGCUUGUGAUACUUUGGCAGGAAGGUAUCUCGGUUCUUGGCGUUGCAGACUUUCUAUCAUAAUUUAUAUUCUACACGGAUGACUGCUAAUCGUCAAUCCUUGAAAAUUUCGAUGAUUUUUCUUCUCAAUCUUAAAAAUAUUCUGUAAAAAUUUCAAGGAUGAUGUUGGUAUAGCCUCCUUUUACAAAAUAAUUUAAGGAGUGGAGAUUCUUAACACUGCAACCGAGAUAGGUUUUUUGCAGUUUCACCGUCGCACACUGGACUUAGUCAAUAGGAGAGGUCAGACAUAGUCAGCAAACUUUGAAAGCCCAUAUUUUCGAAAUUACGAAACGAAAAAGUUUAAGAGUAAUUUUGUUGGUUUUCAGUAAAAUUACCUUCAGAAACCCCUCUUGAAAUUGAAUUGUGACAAAAUAAACAUCAAAAUCUAUAAUUUUAGCCAAUUUUCCAUGUUGGACCUUUUCCAUUAGCUCACUCCACUGUGUGCGAGGUCAGACAAAAUCAGGAAACUCUGAAUUUCGAAAUUACGGAACGAAAAAUUUUACGAGUGGUUUUGUUGGUUUUUCCGUAAAUUUGCCUUCAGAAACACCUCUUUUGUGACAAAAUAAGCAUGAAAAUCUAUAACUCUAGCCAAAAAUUUCAUGUUGGACCUCUUCUAUUAUCUCACUCUACUGUGCGUCGCUAUCGGAGAAUUCAUUGGGCGAGCUGAGUGAAACGGUGGCGCAGCGGUGCGUCA